CGGCGUCAUGCGGCCCGCCUGGACCGAGGACCGCGCUUCGGCUAGGAUGCUGGCGUAAUGGUUGUGAGCGGCCCGUCUUGAAACACGGACCAAGGAGUCUAACAUCUAUGCGAGUGUUUGGGUGUCAAACCCAUGCGCGUAAUGAAAGUGAACGGAGGUGGGAACCCAUUCGGGCGCACCAUCGACCGAUCCAGAUGUCUUCGGAUGGAUUUGAGUACGAGCAUAGCUGUUGGGACCCGAAAGAUGGUGAACUAUGCCUGAAUAGGGUGAAGCCAGAGGAAACUCUGGUGGAGGCUCGCAGCGGUUCUGACGUGCAAAUCGAUCGUCAAAUUUGGGUAUAGGGGCGAAAGUACGUUGAUCUUUUGUCAAUCGCGGGUGGAUCAUAUGCUAAUAUUGUUUUCUAGGACUAAUCGAACCAUU
rnacentral:rRNA from 1 species